GAAGAAACGGCCUUGGUUAAUACCUGGGGCUAAUGACGGUACCUGAAGAAUAAGCACCGGCUAACUACGUGCCGGCAGCCGCGGUAAUACGUAGGGUGCGAGCGUUAAUCGGAAUUACUGGGCGUAAAGCGUGCGCAGGCGGUUUUGUAAGUCUGACGUGAAAUCCCCGGGCUUAACCUGGGAAUUGCGUUGGAGACUGCAAGGCUGGAGUCUGGCAGAGGGGGGUAGAAUUCCACGUGUAGCAGUGAAAUGCGUAGAGAUGUGGAGGAACACCGAUGGCGAAGGCAGCCCCCUGGGUCAAGACUGACGCUCAUGCACGAAAGCGUGGGGAGCAAACAGGAUUAGAUACCCUGGUAGUCCACGCCCUAAACGAUGUCUACUAGUUGUCGGGUCUUAAUUGACUUGGUAACGCAGCUAACGCGUGAAGUAGACCGCCUGGGGAGUACGGUCGCAAGAUUAAAACUCAAAGGAAUUGACGGGGACCCGCACAAGCGGUGGAUGAUGUGGAUUAAUUCGAUGCAACGCGAAAAACCUUACCUACCCUUGACAUGUCAGGAACCUCCGAGAGAUUGGAGGGUGCCCGAAAGGGAGCCUGAACACAGGUGCUGCAUGGCUGUCGU
rnacentral:rRNA from 1 species